CAAAAAAAUAGUAGUUUUACGUAUAAAAAAGUACUAUACGGUAAAUUUCUAUUCGAAAUAAGCAACGUUGACAUCACUGCUGCCAUUAUUGCUCUUUGUUUUCUUCAUAUUCGCUGUCAUUUGAUUUUUCCGAUUGCGUGAAUUUGGAUAAGUUUGCCAAUAAUUUCGAGCUAUUUCUUAAUACAGUUAAAGUUUUUAAUUAUUAAUGUGUAAUAUAUCUAAUUUGCUUGAUAAUUAAGCGCAGCGCAUACAAUUUGGGUCCCACUGUGAGGAUUCUUUGUGUUUUCACUUUUUGGCUUUCGACUUCAGCGCUGCUCCAAUUGUUAAUUUUUCCUGCCCCAGAGCAGCGACAUCAUCAAUUCGCUUUUGUGGACACUGUGUUCCAUUCACACACACGUUUCUUUGUGCUGCAUUUUUUCUGCUUCGUAUGGAGCGCAUUUCCGACUAACGCAUCUGUGGACACUGAGCUCCGACUAACACACACACACGUUUCUUUGUGCUGCAUUUUUUCUGCUUCAUAGGAGCGGAUUUCCGACUAACGCAUCUGUGGACACUGAGCUCCGACUAACACACACACACGUUUCUUUGUGCUGCAUUUUUUCUGCUUCGUAUGGAGCGCAUUUCCGACUAACGCAUCUGUGGGCACUGAGUUCCGACUAACACACACACACGUUUCUUUGUGCUACAUUUUUCCUGCUUCAUAGGAGCGCAUUUCCGACUAACGCAUCUGGGGACACUGAGUUCCGGCUAACACACACACACACGUAUAAUCGCUGCUUCUCCGUUUAAAGUGUUUUGUAUGUAAGUUAAAAUAAGUUAUUUCAGCCGUGCUUAUUCAUAAGAUGAUAUUUCCAAAUUACAUUAAAUUUUUAAAUGUAAGCGUUACUAAUUUCAGUGGGGUUAAAAUAAAUUUUUGUGGCAAUAAAUAACAUCUGAAGUCAUUUUGUUGCUUUAGUAAAAUGUAUACAAAUUUAUGUAAAAGGCAACAAAAAAGGUAAAAGGCAAAAUUUAUGUAAAAGGCCAAUUGUACGAAAGUAAUUUGACGGAUUUAGCUGUUAUUUAUUGGCUCCUUUAUAUUUGGUACAUUUCUGUGUCCGUUUAAAUUAGCUUAAGUGAAUUUCGAGGGUUUAACAUUUAAUUAAGAUAUAAUUAGAUAAAAUAAGAGAUACACCUAUAAUAAGAGUUACUUUAAAGGGAAAAUGGCCUAUUUCAGCUUAAGCUAACUGACGGACACAAAUUUAUUCUAAGUUACAUAUAUCAAACAAAAUCCUUAAGUAGAAAUAUCAUCUUAAAUACUUUUUUCGAAAAUGUGAGAAUUCUAUUCACAAGUGCGAGAUUGCAUACAAUACUUGUACAUGUUUAUUUUGCUUAGCAGCAUGUAUGUAGUUAUAUAAUAAUAAUAAUAGA